UGAUGAUUAGCUCAGUUGGUAGAGCAUUUGGCUGUUAACCGAAAGGUUCGUCAGUUCAAGUCUGACAUCAUCAUCCA
rnacentral:tRNA from 1 species